UACGUAGGCAGCGAGCGUUGUUCGGAGUUACUGGGCGUAAAGAGCUCGUAGGCGGUUUGUCGCGUCUGCUGUGAAAACUGGAGGCUCAACCUCCAGCCUGCAGUGGGUACGGGCAGACUAGAGUGCGGUAGGGGAGAAUGGAAUUCCCGGUGUAGCGGUGAAAUGCGCAGAUAUCGGGAGGAACACCGGUGGCGAAGGCGGUUCUCUGGGCCUUACCUGACGCUGGAGGAGCGAAAGCCGUGGGGAGCGAACAGG
rnacentral:rRNA from 1 species